CUGUGACCUACCACUUGAUGGGAGCAGAAUAAUCACUCUCAACACCAGAUGCAAUACGACCAGAAGUUCUAGGAGCUAAUCUUGAAACAGACAGACCAAGCCUGGAGACCCAGUUGCAAAGUUCCAGAGAUGGCUUCAAGGUGGCGAAUUAACAACCUGGCCAUUGUUGAGAUGAUGUCAGCCUAAUGUCCAAGUGGACUGGGACUCAAGAUGGCCACCAGAACAAGACACAUGGAUAUUGUACUCAGCCCAAUUCUUGCAUGCCUUCCCUAUCAAGGUAUCGCUUUUCAAAACACCUGCCUUCCCCCUCAACCACAGCUGAAGGAGUUACUUUGGAUAGGAAUCCUGUGCUUCCCCUUCAAUAGUUUUGGUUAAUAAAGUCACUUUCUUUGUAUUACA